UUUUUGUGUCGCGCUGCUUUGCUUUAUUCUUGGCCAGGUCUCAGUUGUAACUGAGAACUUGUUCUCAACUGGCCUACCUGGUUAAAUAAAGUUUGUAAUGGGCACAACCGAGGUGGAGGAGAAUGAGACAGCCAAGAAAAGACCCUUCCAAGUGGAAAGGUUCAGAAGAGGAUGAGGAUGUAAGGGGAAAUCCAGUCUCGUCUAGAAGGGAUACAGCAUUUGUCAAACAUUUACUUUUCGUAGCAGGUUAGGAGGAGUUGGUUAAGGUUAGGAAAAGGGUUAGGGUUAGGGUUAGCUAAAAUACAGGGUUAGGGUUAGCUAAAAUACAGGGUUAGCUAAAAUACAGGGUUAGUGUUAGCUAAAAUACAGGGUUAGCUCAAAUACAGGGUUAGGGUUAGCUAAAAUACAGGGUUAGGGUUAGCUAAAAUACAGGGUUAGGGUUAGCUAAAAUACAGGGUUAGGGUUAGCUAAAAUACAGGGUUAGGGUUAGCUAAAAUACAGGGUUAGGGUUAGCUAAAAUACAGGGUUAGGGUUAACUAAAAUUUAGGGUUAGCUAAAAUACAGGGUUACGGUUAGCUAAAAUACAUGGCUAGGGUUAGCUAAAAUUUAGGGUUAGCUAAAAUACAAAAAAAAUCUACUUUCGAUGCCAAUUUAACAAAAGCUGCAUCCCUUCUAGACAUGACCGAUAAAUCCUUCCUCGGCAGGAAAAAGAUGAUUGAGUUGGCUAUGGCAAUUGAUAUCUGCACUGUUUGACUAUUUAUUACUUACAUGAUUCUUACCUGAAUAACCUACCUUGAUAUUUAAUUCCAUGCUGAAAUCUGUCUGAUUUGCAUACUAGUAACAUGAUUGAUAGUGAAAUGUAGAUAUUGAUAGUUGUUUGACUGAUCCACUUACCUGAUCGUUCUCGAUAUUUCAGUGUGAGUGAAAAAUAAAACCUUACACUUGGUGUAAAUAUUUUUGGUACAUAUUCACCAUCACAUGUACUGAAAAUGAUAUUGUGAAAUAAAAUGUCAUUAAUGCCA